GCACAAGCAGCGGAGCGUGUGGUUUAAUUCGAUGUUACACGAAGAACCUUACCAGGGUUUGACAUGCAAGUGGUAGGAAGCCGAAAGGUGACCGACCCUUCGGGGAGCUUGCACAGGUGCUGCAUGGCUGUCGUCGGCUCGUGUCGUGAGAUGUUCGGUUAAGUCCGCUAACGAGCGCAACCCUCGCUGUGUGUUACAAGUGUCACACGGUACUGCCGGUCUUAAGCCGGAGGAAGGUGGGAUGACGUCAAGUCAGCAUGGCCUUUAUGUCCUGGGCUACACACACGCUACAAUGGCCAACACAAUAGGUUGCUAAGCCGCGAGGUGGAGCCAAUCCUCAAAGUUGGUCUCAGUUCAGAUUGCAGGCUGCAACCCGCCUGCGUGAAGAUGGAGUUGCUAGUAACCGCAGGUCAGCUAUACUGCGGUGAAUACGUUCCCGGGGCUU
rnacentral:rRNA from 1 species